CGGGGGGCAGCAGUGGGGAAUAUUGCGCAAUGGACGAAAGUCUGACGCAGCGACGCCGCGUGUGGGAUGAAGCUCUUCGGGGUGUAAACCACUGUUGCCAGGGAAGAAACUCUUGAUUCGUCAAGACUGACGGUACCUGGUGAGGAAGCACCGGCUAACUCUGUGCCAGCAGCCGCGGUAAUACAGAGGGUGCGAGCGUUGUCCGGAAUCACUGGGCGUAAAGGGCGCGUAGGUGGCGGGAUAAGUGUGUGGUGAAAGCUCGGGGCUCAACCCCGAGUCUGCCAUGCAGACUGUCUUGCUCGAGCGUAGUAGAGGCAGGUGGAAUUCCGGGUGUAGCGGUGGAAUGCGUAGAGAUCCGGAAGAACAUCGGUGGCGAAGGCGGCCUGCUGGGCUACUGCUGACACUGAGGCGCGACAGCGUGGGGAGCAAACAGGAUUAGAUACCCGAGU
rnacentral:rRNA from 1 species